CCUCUUGUCUCCCUCUACGAAGCAAAGUUCUGCUAGGGCACGUACCAUCUUCCAUCUCCAAGCUAGCCUAACCCAUCAGGUACUCUAGCUCACUUCCUUGGUUCUGGAGCUGCUAUUUUCGUAGAUUGCGGGUCUGUUGUCUUUUGGUACUUAAAACAAGAUGAGAGGGAGGUUCGAGAUGGAUCCGGGAGACGCAGCAGUGCAACUUAGAUCUUCUUGACUGGAUGUCUUAGGAGUAGUUUCAUGGCCAUGAGGCCUUUUGUAUUAGUUACCUUGAGGGCAACCCUUUUGCAAGACCGUUGAACUUUUAAAUUUCCUUUUGCUUAGGACUAUGUGGUAUGCCUAAGUUUCCUUUGGAGUAUUUCCGGAUGACUAUAAUAGUUAU